CCUACGGGUGGCAGCAGUGAGGAAUAUUGGUCAAUGGGCGCGAGCCUGAACCAGCCAAGUAGCGUGAAGGAUGACUGCCCUAUGGGUUGUAAACUUCUUUUAUAAAGGAAUAAAGUGAGGCACGUGUGCCUUUUUGUAUGUACUUUAUGAAUAAGGAUCGGCUAACUCCGUGCCAGCAGCCGCGGUAAUACGGAGGAUCCGAGCGUUAUCCGGAUUUAUUGGGUUUAAAGGGUGCGUAGACGGGUUGUUAAGUCAGUUGUGAAAGUUUGCGGCUCAACCGGAGAAUUGCAAUUGAUACUGGCAGUCUUGAGUACAGUUGAGGUAGGCGGAAUGCGUGGUGUAGCGGUGAAAUGCUUAGAUAUCACGAAGAACUCCGAUUGCGAAGGCAGCUUACUAAACUGCCACUGACAUUGAUGCUCGAAAGUGUGGGUAGCAAACAGGAUUAGAUACCCCUGUAGUC
rnacentral:rRNA from 1 species